rnacentral:lncRNA from 1 species
AGUUUACAUCUUCAGCGCUGGACUCUAGAUCUACAAUGGACUUUAAACUUUCAGCGGUCAACUUGGGAUAUACAGCGCUUGAAUUAGGAUCUUCAGCGCUUGACUUUAUAACUAAUAACCUGGAUUUAAAUCUCCAGCGCUGGACCUGGAUCUUCAGUGCUUGUUUUUUUUAAUCUACAUCAUCGCUUGACUUUAAAAACCCC